UACGGAGGAUGCAAGUGUUAUCCGGAAUCACUGGGCGUAAAGCGUCUGCAGGUGGUCAAAUAAGUCAACUGUUAAAUCUUGAGGCUCAACCUCAAAAUCGCAGUCGAAACUAUUCGACUAGAGUAUAGUAGGGGUAAAGGGAAUUUCCAGUGGAGCGGUGAAAUGCGUAGAGAUUGGAAAGAACACCGAUGGCGAAGGCACUUGACUGGGCUAUUACUAACACUGAGAGACGAAAGCUAGGGUAGCAAAUGGG
rnacentral:rRNA from 1 species